rnacentral:rRNA from 1 species
AUUGAACGCUGGCGGCAUGCUUUACACAUGCAAGUCGAACGGUAACAGGGUGCUUGCACCGCUGACGAGUGGCGAACGGGUGAGUAAUGCAUCGGAACGUGCCGAGUAGUGGGGGAUAACGCAGCGAAAGUUGUGCUAAUACCGCAUACGUACUGAGGUAGAAAGUGGGGGACCUUCGGGCCUCACGCUAUUCGAGCGGCCGACGUCUGAUUAGCUAGUAGGUGAGGUAAAGGCUCACCUAGGCGACGAUCAGUAGCGGGUCUGAGAGGAUGAUCCGCCACACUGGGACUGAGACACGGCACAGACUCCUACGGGAGUCAGCAGUGGGGAAUUUUGGACAAUGGGCGAAAGCCUGAUCCAGCCAUGCCGCGUGUCUGAAGAAGGCCUUCGGGUUGUAAAGGACUUUUGUCGGGGAGGAAAUCCCCAGCGUUAAUACCGCUGGGGGAUGACAGUACCUGAAGAAUAAGCACCGGCUAACUACGUGCCAGCCGCCGCCGUAACAC